rnacentral:rRNA from 1 species
UGGGGAAUAUUGCACAAUGGACGGAAGUCUGAUGCAGCGACGCCGCGUGGGGGAUGAAGGCUUUCGGGUUGUAAACUCCUUUCAGUACAGAAGAAGCUUUAUUGUGACGGUAUGUGCAGAAGAAGCGCCGGCUAACUACGUGCCAGCAGCCGCGGUAAUACGUAGGGCGCGAGCGUUGUCCGGAAUUAUUGGGUUUAAAGGGAGCGUAGGCCGUUUGGUAAGCGUGUUGUGAAAUGUAGGAGCUCAACUUCUAGAUUGCAGCGCGAACUGUCAGACUUGAGUGCGCACAACGUAGGCGGAAUUCAUGGUGUAGCGGUGAAAUGCUUAGAUAUCAUGAAGAACUCCGAUUGCGAAGGCAGCUUACCAGGCUUUAUCUGACACUUAGGCACGACAGCGUGGGGAUCAAACAGG